AUAAUAUACUUAUUAUUAUUGUUUAUUAAUUUUAUUAGUUUUAUAGAAAUAACUUUAGUUUUAGUAUAUUUUAUUGAAAGAAUAAUUUUAUUUAUAGUUAAUUUUACUGUGAAGGAUUUAAUUUUGUUUGUUGGUAGUAAUUUUAAUUUAAUGUACCUUUUGUAUCAGGGUUGAUUAAUUUAAUAUAUUUAUGUAUGUAUUUCCCGAAGUUUGGAGAGAUAAAAUUAUUUGUUAGUUAAUGUAUCAAAAUUAUUGAUGAAUUAAUUUUAGUAGUGAAAAGUUAUUCGUUCCUUAAUAUCUGGUUUUCUAAGAAUUGAAUUUAAUUCAGACUCUAUAAUGAUAAUUGAUAAUUUUUAUUUAAUUAUUUUAUUGGGUUAAGGCUCUUAGGGAUAAGCUUGAGAGCAAUUUUAUAAUAGUUAUUUAAUAUUAGGUUAAGUAGGUUUGGAAUCGGCCAUCAUUAAUUUCGUUAUAGAUUUACCUUUUAUUUAGUUUAUUUUUUUAUAUUUAAGUUCUCAUUAGAAUAAAUUUAUGAAUUUGUUAUAUUUUGUAAUAAUGAUUAAAUUAGUAUAUUUUAUAAUUGACUUACAGGAACUCGGCAAUUCUAAUGCUCGCCUGUUUAACAAAAACAUGUCCUUUUGUUAUUUAUAUAAGGUUUAACCUGCCCAAUGAUUAUUGAAUGGCCGCGGUAUUUUAACCGUGCUAAGGUAGCGUAAUCAUUUGUCUUUUAAUUAAGGGCUUGAAUGAAAGGUUGGACGAGGUAUUAGCUUUCUUUAAUUCAGUUAUUUGAAUUUAAUUUUUAAGUUAAAAAGCUUAAAUUUAUUUGUUGGACGAGAAGACCCUAUAGAUCUUUACAUCUGAAUAAUUGUAGUAUUUAGAGAUUGAUUAUUUAUGAUUAUGGAGGGUGUUUAGUUGGGGUGACUAUAGAAUAGAAAUAACUUCUUUUUGUUUAUUUCGUUAAUUUACGUUUGUAUGAUCCAUUAUUAAUGAUUAAAAGAUUAAGUUACCUUAGGGAUAACAGCGUAAUUUUUCCGGAGAGUUCAUAUCGAUGGAGGAGUUUGCGACCUCGAUGUUGGAUUAAAAUAAGUUCUGAGUGCAGUAGUUCAGUAACUAGGUCUGUUCGACCUUUUAUUUUUUACAUGAUCUGAGUUCAGACCGGCGUGAGCCAGGUCAGUUUCUAUCCUCAAUUUUGUUAUAUAUAUUAGUACGAAAGGACCAUAUAUGUGGAGUAUCUCUUGUUUUUUGUCUAAUAUU
rnacentral:rRNA from 1 species